rnacentral:rRNA from 1 species
GACGAACGCUGGCGGCGUGCUUAACACAUGCAAGUCGAACGGAAAGGCCCUGCUUGUGGGGUGUGCUCGAGUGGCGAACGGGUGAGUAACACGGGAGUAACCUGCCCUUGACUUGGGGAUAACUUCAGGAAACUGGGGCUAAUACCGUAUAGGAGCUCCUGCUGCAUGGGGGGGGUUGGAAAGUUUCGUCGGUUUGGGAUGCACUCGCGGCUUAUCAGCUUGUUGGUGGGGUGGUGGCCUACCAAGGCUUUGGCGGGUAGCCGGCCUGGGGGGGUGGCCGGCCACCUUGGGACUGAGAGUCGGCCCCGGCUCCUACGGGGGGCAGCCGGGGGGAAUUAUGCACAAUUGGCGCGAGCCUGGUGCAGCAACGCCGCGGGGGGGAUGGCCGGCUUCGGGUUUGAAACCCCUUUCGCCAGGGACGAAGCUUUUUGUGACGGUACCGAGAGAAGAAGCACCGGCUAACUACGUG